GACGAACGCUGGCGGCAUGCCUAAUACAUGCAAGUCGAACGCUGAAGCACUCUGCUUGCAGAGUGCGGAUGAGUGGCGAACGGGUGAGUAACACGUGGGAAAUCUGCCUAGGAGUGGGGGAUAACAUUCGGAAACGGAUGCUAAUACCGCAUAUCUUUUUGAACCGCAUGGUUCUUAAACGAAAGACGGCUUCGGCUGUCGCUCUUAGAUGAUCCCGCGGCGUAUUAGUUAGUUGGUGGGGUAAAGGCCUACCAAGACCAUGAUACGUAGCCGACCUGAGAGGGUGAUCGGCCACACUGGGACUGAGACACGGCCCAAACUCCUACGGGAGGCAGCAGUGGGGAAUAUUGCACAAUGGGGGAAACCCUGAUGCAGCAACGCCGCGUGAGUGAAGAAGUAUUUCGGUAUGUAAAGCUCUAUCGGCAGGAAAGAAAAUGACGGUACCUGACUAAGAAGCCCCGGCUAACUACGUG
rnacentral:rRNA from 1 species